AUUGUUUUCUUGCAGGCAUUGUAAUAGUUUUGCAUUAGUUGGUUCGCAAUCUAUCGUUUCUUGAAUUACAUAUGCCUGAGAUAGACCUAGUGGGCGAGUCGGCGCGGUCGGCGGCCGAACCCACUGGGAACUUCGUUCUAGUUCUCAUUACCACUAACCCUGCAGAUCCGUGCGCGAGCGGGGCGGCGGAGGAUCGAGGCAAGGGUAUUGCGCCGUAGAUAGCGGCCCUCGGAGUUUUAGGCAUACCCUAUACAUUUUGGUAUAUUCAACUUUUGUACGUUGAACUAG
rnacentral:lncRNA from 1 species